rnacentral:rRNA from 1 species
AGCAGCCGCGGUAAUUCCAGCUCCAAUAGCGUAUAUUAAAGUUGUUGCAGUUAAAAAGCUCGUAGUUGAAUUUCGGGGUUCUACUGUUGGUUGGGCAAUUGUCUGUACUGGCAUGUGGAAUUUCUACCUUCUGGGAAACCAUCAUGUUAUUAAUUUAGCGUGGUGGGAAACCAGGACCUUUACCUUGAAAAAAUUAGAGUGUUCAAAGCAGGCUUACGUCUGAAUACAUUAGCAUGGAAUAAUAAAAUAGGACGGUGGUCCUGUUUUGUUGGUUUCUGAAUCACCGUAAUGAUUAAUAGGGAUAGUUGGGGGCAUUAGUAUUCAAUUGUCAGAGGUGAAAUUCUUGGAUUUAUUGAAGACUAACUUCUGCGAAAGCAUUUGCCAAGGAUGUUUUCAUUAAUCAAGAACGAAAGUUAGGGGAUCGAAGACGAUCAGAUACCGUCGUAGUCU